CUCGGGAGGCAGCAGUGGGGAAUAUUGCACAAUGGGGGAAACCCUGAUGCAGCGACGCCGCGUGAGUGAUGAAGUAUUUCGGUAUGUAAAGCUCUAUCAGCAGGGAAGAUAAUGACGGUACCUGACUAAGAAGCUCCGGCUAAAUACGUGCCAGCAGCCGCGGUAAUACGUAUGGAGCAAGCGUUAUCCGGAUUUACUGGGUGUAAAGGGAGCGCAGACGGCAGGGCAAGUCUGAUGUGAAAGUCCGGGGCUCAACCCCGGGACUGCCUUGGAAACUGUCCGGCCCGAGUGCAGGAGUGGUAAGG
rnacentral:rRNA from 1 species